CCGCCGGCGACCGGCGCACGGGUGAGUAACACGUAUGCAACCUGGCCGUGACAGAUGGAUAACCGGGAGAAAUCCCGCCUAAUACAACAUAAUGCCGGGAGGGGACAUCCCCUGCCGGCCAAAGGGGCGACCCCGGUCACGGAUGGGCAUGCGGCGCAUUAGGUAGUUGGUGGGGCAACGGCCCACCAAGCCGACGAUGCGUAGGGGUUCUGAGAGGAAGGUCCCCCCACAUUGGAACUGAGACACGGUCCAAACUCCUACGGAAGGCAGCAG
rnacentral:rRNA from 1 species